UACGGGGGGAGCAAGCGUUGUUCGGAUUUACUGGGCGUAAAGGGCGCGUAGGCGGUCGUGACAAGUCACUUGUGAAAUCUCCGGGCUUAACUCGGAACGGUCAAGUGAUACUGUCGGACUAGAGUACAGAAGGGGCAACUGGAAUUCUCGGUGUAGCGGUGAAAUGCGUAGAUAUCGAGAGGAACACCGGUGGCGAAAGCGGCUCACUGGAUCUUAUCUGACGCUGAGGCACGAAAGCCAGGGUAGCAAACGGG
rnacentral:rRNA from 1 species